CUACGGGAGGCAGCAGUGAGGAAUAUUGGACAAUGGGUGGAAGCCUGAUCCAGCCAUCCCGCGUGUAGGAAGACGGCCUUAUGGGUUGUAAACUACUUUUAUCUGGGGAUAAACCUACUUACGUGUAAGUAGCUGAAGGUACCAGAAGAAUAAGCACCGGCUAACUCCGUGCCAGCAGCCGCGGUAAUACGGAGGGUGCGAGCGUUAUCCGGAUUUAUUGGGUUUAAAGGGUUCGUAGGCGGCUUAAUAAGUCAGUGGUGAAAUCUCAUAGCUUAACUAUGAAACUGCCAUUGAUACUGUUAAGCUAGAAUAUGUUUGAAGUAGCUAGAAUGUGUAGUGUAGCGGUGAAAUGCAUAGAUAUU
rnacentral:rRNA from 1 species